rnacentral:rRNA from 1 species
CAGUCGCCGCGGGAAUACGUAGGUCCCGAGCGUUGUCCGGAUUUAUUGGGCGUAAAGCGAGCGCAGGCGGUUAGAUAAGUCUGAAGUUAAAGGCUGUGGCUUAACCAUAGUACGCUUUGGAAACUGUUUAACUUGAGUGCAAGAGGGGAGAGUGGAAUUCCAUGUGUAGCGGUGAAAUGCGUAGAUAUAUGGAGGAACACCGGUGGCGAAAGCGGCUCUCUGGCUUGUAACUGACGCUGAGGCCCGAAAGCGUGGGGAGCAAACAGGAUUAGAUACCCCUGUAGUCCCUGUCUCUUAUACA